CGCUGGCGGCGUGCUUAACACAUGCAAGUUGAACGGUCCGGCAUGGAAGCUUGCUGAAGUGUCGGGUAGUUAGCGGACGGGUGAGUAAUGCAUGAGAAGCUGCCAUUGGGAGGGGGACAACAGUUUGGAAACGGCUGCUAAUACCCCAUAUGCCGGAAGGUGAAACGGAGUGAUCCGCCCGAUGAGGUGCUCAUGUCCUAUCAGCUUGUUGGUGAGGUAACGGCUCACCAAGGCGACGACGGGUAGCCGGCCUGAGAGGGUGACCGGCCACACUGGAACUGAGAUACGGUCCAGACUCCUACGGGAGGCAGCAGUGGGGAAUAUUUCGGGGCAAUGGGGGCAACCCUGACCCAGCGACGCCGCGUUGAGGGAAGACGGCCUUCGGGUUGUAAACCUCUUUUGUACGGGAAGAAGGACGUGACGGUACCGUGCGAAUAAGUCCCGGCUAACUACGUGCCAGCCGCCGC
rnacentral:rRNA from 1 species